GGAAGUAAAAGUCGUAAACAAGGUCUCCGUAGGUGAACCUGCGGAGGGAUCAUUACCAGAAGCCGCGUCGGCCGCGAGGCCGGCGCCUUCGCCCAACCCUUUGUGAACGAUAUUGAUUGCCCCGGGGGACCCCGCACCCGUGCGGCCCCCCGGUGGCCCCCCAUAACUCUUGUUGUAUCUGCCGUCUGAGUCGCAAAUGCAAAUGAAACAAAACUUUCAACAACGGAUCUCUUGGUUCUGGCAUCGAUGAAGAACGCAGCGAAAUGCGAUAAGUAAUGUGAAUUGCAGAAUUCAGUGAAUCAUCGAAUCUUUGAACGCACAUUGCGCCCCCUGGUAUUCCGGGGGGCAUGCCUGUUCGAGCGUCAUUACAACCAAUCCAGCCCGGCUGGGUGUUGGGCGUCGCGGCCUGCCGCGCGCCUCAAAGUCCUCGGCGGAAGCCGCCCGUUCCUCUGCGUGAUGAUCCAUCGCCGCUUGGGAGUCGGGGGAGAGCGCCUGCACGCGUCGACGGAGACGUCGACUUCAAGGUUGACCUCGGAUCAGGUAGGGAUACCCGCUGAACUUAAGCAAAUCAAUAAGCGGAGGAAAAGAAACCAACAGGGAUUGCCUCAGUAACG
rnacentral:rRNA from 1 species